rnacentral:rRNA from 1 species
GAUGAACGCUGACAGAAUGCUUAACACAUGCAAGUCUACUUGAAUUUGGGUUUUUUAACUUAGAUUUGGGUGGCGGACGGGUGAGUAACGCGUAAAGAACUUGCCUCACAGCUAGGGACAACAUUUGGAAACGAAUGCUAAUACCUGAUAUUAUGAUUAUAAGGCAUCUUAGAAUUAUGAAAGCUAUAUGCGCUGUGAGAGAGCUUUGCGUCCCAUUAGCUAGUUGGAGAGGUAACGGCUCACCAAGGCGAUGAUGGGUAGCCGGCCUGAGAGGGUGAACGGCCACAAGGGGACUGAGACACGGCCCUUACUCCUACGGGAGGCAGCAGUGGGGAGUAUUGGACAAUGGACCAAGAGUCUGAUCCAGCAAUUCUGUGUGCACGAUGACGUUUUUCGGAAUGUAAAGUGCUUUCAGUUGGGAAGAAAAAAAUGACGGUACCAACAGAAGAAGUGACGGCUAAAUACGUG